CCGGCUAAAGCCCCGCUGGGAGGGGAUGGCUCCGCGGCCCAUCAGGUAGACGGCGGGGUGACGGCCCACCGUGCCGACAACGAGUAGCCGGGUUGAGAGACCGACCGGCCAGAUUGGGACUGAGACACGGCCCAGACUCCUACGGGAGGCAGCAGUGGGGAAUCUUGCGCAAUGGGGGGAACCCUGACGCAGCGACGCCGCGUGCGGGACGGAGGCCUUCGGGUCGUAAACCGCUUUCAGCAGGGAAGAGUCAAGACUGUACCUGCAGAAGAAGCCCCGGCUAACUACGUGCCAGCAGCCGCGGUAAUACGUAGGGGGCGAGCGUUAUCCGGAUUCAUUGGGCGUAAAGCGCGCGUAGGCGGCCCGGCAGGCCGGGGGUCGAAGCGGGGGGCUCAACCCCCCGAAGCCCCCGGAACCUCCGCGGCUUGGGUCCGGUAGGGGAGGGUGGAACACCCGGUGUAGCGGUGGAAUGCGCAGAUAUCGGGUGGAACACCGGUGGCGAAGGCGGCCCUCUGGGCCGAGACCGACGCUGAGGCGCGAAAGCUGGGGGAGCGAACAGGAUUAGAUACCCUGGUAGUCCCAGCCGU
rnacentral:rRNA from 1 species